UACGGGAGGCAGCAGUGGGGAAUAUUGCACAAUGGGCGCAAGCCUGAUGCAGCCAUGCCGCGUGUAUGAAGAAGGCCUUCGGGUUGUAAAGUACUUUCAGUCGUGAGGAAGGUGUUAAGGUUAAUAACCUUAGCAAUUGACGUUAGCGACAGAAGAAGCACCGGCUAACUCCGUGCCAGCAGCCGCGGUAAUACGGAGGGUGCGAGCGUUAAUCGGAAUUACUGGGCGUAAAGGGCACGCAGGCGGUUAAUUAAGUUGGAUGUGAAAUCCCCGGGCUUAACCUGGGAAUGGCAUUCAAGACUGGUUAGCUAGAGUCUUGUAGAGGGGGUAGAAUUCCAUGUGUAGCGGUGAAAUGCGUAGAGAUGUGGAGGAAUACCGGUGGCGAAGGCGGCCCCUGGACAAAGACUGACGCUCAUGUGCGAAGCGUGGGGAGCAAACAGAAUUAGAUACC
rnacentral:rRNA from 1 species